AUUGACGUUAGGUGAGGCUCCUAUAUAGAUAUACGCUACUGCCCCGAAACAUCGAGAGAUGCCAAUGGGUUAACAGAUACUACCGAAUCAAGGUUUUAUUUAAUGUAGCUGGUAAUUUCCAAAGCUAUAUAGUGCUAAAGCUCAAACAUA
rnacentral:sRNA from 1 species